rnacentral:tRNA from 1 species
GCCUGGGUGGCUCAGUCAGUUAAGCGUCUGACUUUGGCUCAGAUCAUGAUCUCACAGUUCAUGGGUUUGAGCCCCACAUCGGGCU